rnacentral:misc_RNA from 1 species
ACAGUCGCUGUUCAUCGUCAGAUGAAUAGAGGAAAGUCCAGGCUCGCCCAGACUGUAAUGUCUGGAGUGUUUGUGCCUAUCGCAAGGUAGGGCAGUCGGGUUACCGGCUGACGGCGGUGAAAUCGGCUACGUUCUUCGGAAUAUGCCGAAAAUAGCCUGAAAGUGCCACAGUGACGAAGCUUUGUCGGAAACGGCAGAGGUGGAACGAGGUAAACCCCGCAAGCGAGCAACCCAAAUUUUGGUAGGGGCACUAUCCAAAGGGAAACGAACUGGAG